rnacentral:rRNA from 1 species
ACUGCUCAGUAACACGUGGACAACCUGCCCUUAGGUUGGGUAUAAACCCGGGAAACUGGGUAUAAUACCCGAUAGGUCUCGAUUGCUGGAAUGCAUCGAGAUUUAAAGCUCCGGCGCCUAAGGAUGGGUCUGCGGCCUAUCAGGUAGUAGUUGGUGUAGCGUACCUACUAACCUACGACGGGUACGGGUUGUGAGAGCAAGAGCCCGGAGAUGGAUUCUGAGACACGAAUCCAGGCCCUACGGGGUGCAGCAGGCGCGAAAACUUUACAAUGCUGGCAACAGCGAUAAGGGAACCUCGAGUGCCAGGUUACAAAUCUGGCUGUCGAGAUGCCUAAAAAGCAUUUCAUAGCAAGGGCCGGGCAAGACCGGUGCCAGCCGCCGCGGUAACACCGGCGGCUCGAGUGGUAACCGUUAUUAUUGGGUCUAAAGGGUCUGUAGCCGGCCGGAUAAGUCUCUUGAGAAAUCUGGCAGCUUAACUGUCAGGCUUUCAGGAGAUACUGUCUGGCUCGAGGCCGGGAGAGGUGAGAGGUACUUCAGGGGUAGGGGUGAAAUCUUGUAAUCCUUGAAGGACCACCAGUGGCGAAGGCGUCUCACCAGAACGGACCUGACGGCAAGGGACGAAAGCUAGGGGCACGAACCGGAUUAGAUACCCGGGUAGUCCUAGCCGUAAACGAUACUCGCUAGGUGUCGGCCACGGUGCGACCGUUGUCGGUGCCGCAGGGAAGCCGUGAAGCGAGCCACCUGGGAAGUACGGCCGCAAGGCUGAAACUUAAAGGAAUUGGCGGGGGAGCAC